rnacentral:rRNA from 1 species
ACGCUCGACACCUACGGGGGGCAGCAGUGGGGAAUAUUGCACAAUGGGGGAAACCCUGAUGCAGCGACGCCGCGUGAAGGAUGAAGUAUUUCGGUAUGUAAACUUCUAUCAGCAGGGAAGAAAAUGACGGUACCUGACUAAGAAGCCCCGGCUAACUACGUGCCAGCAGCCGCGGUAAUCUGAGCGGGCUGGCAAGGC